rnacentral:rRNA from 1 species
GAUGAACGCUGGCGGCGUGCCUAAUACAUGCAAGUCGAGCGAACAGACGAGGAGCUUGCUCCUCUGAUGUUAGCGGCGGACGGGUGAGUAACACGUGGAUAACCUACCUAUAAGACUGGGAUAACUUCGGGAAACCGGAGCUAAUACCGGAUAAUAUAUUGAACCGCAUGGUUCAAUAGUGAAAGACGGUUUUGCUGUCACUUAUAGAUGGAUCCGCGCCGCAUUAGCUAGUUGGUAAGGUAACGGCUUACCAAGGCGACGAUGCGUAGCCGACCUGAGAGGGUGAUCGGCCACACUGGAACUGAGACACGGUCCAGACUCCUACGGGAGGCAGCAGUAGGGAAUCUUCCGCAAUGGGCGAAAGCUUGACGGAGCAACGCCGCGUGAGUGAUGAAGGUCUUCGGAUCGUAAAACUCUGUUAUUAGGGAAGAACAAAUGUGUAAGUAACUAUGCACGUCUUGACGGUACCUAAUCAGAAAGCCACGGCUAACUACGUG